GACGAACGCUGGCGGCGUGCUUAACACAUGCAAGUCGAACGGAAAGGCCCUGCUUUUGUGGGGUGCUCGAGUGGCGAACGGGUGAGUAACACGUGAGUAACCUGCCCUUGACUUUGGGAUAACUUCAGGAAACUGGGGCUAAUACCGGAUAGGAGCUCCUGCUGCAUGGUGGGGGUUGGAAAGUUUCGGCGGUUGGGGAUGGACUCGCGGCUUAUCAGCUUGUUGGUGGGGUAGUGGCUUACCAAGGCUUUGACGGGUAGCCGGCCUGAGAGGGUGACCGGCCACAUUGGGACUGCGAUACGGCCCAGACUCCUACGGGAGGCAGCAGUGGGGAAUAUUGCACAGUGGGCGGAAGCCUGAUGCAGCAACGCCGCGUGCGGGAUGACGGCCUUCGGGUUGUAAACCGCUUUCGCCUGUGCCGAAGCGUGAGUGACGGUAAUGGGUAAAGAAGCACCGGCUAACUACGUG
rnacentral:rRNA from 1 species